rnacentral:rRNA from 1 species
UUGCUUGGUGGAUCAGUGGCGAACGGGUGAGUAACACGUGAGCAACCUGCCCUGGACUCUGGGAUAAGCGCUGGAAACGGCGUCUAAUACUGGAUAUGAGACGUGAUCGCAUGGUCGUGUUUGGAAAGAUUUUUCGGUCUGGGAUGGGCUCGCGGCCUAUCAGCUUGUUGGUGAGGUAAUGGCUCACCAAGGCGUCGACGGGUAGCCGGCCUGAGAGGGUGACCGGCCACACUGGGACUGAGACACGGCCCAGACUCCUACGGGAGGCAGCAGUGGGGAAUAUUGCACAAUGGGCGGAAGCCUGAUGCAGCAACGCCGCGUGAGGGAUGACGGCCUUCGGGUUGUAAACCUCUUUUAGCAGGGAAGAAGCGAAAGUGACGGUACCUGCAGAAAAAGCGCCGGCUAACUACGUGCCAGCAGCCGCGGUAAUACGUAGGGCGCAAGCGUUAUCCGGAAUUAUUGGGCGUAAAGAGCUCGUAGGCGGUUUGUCGCGUCUGCUGUGAAAUCCCGAGGCUCAACCUCGGGCCUGCAGUGGGUACGGGCAGACUAGAGUGCGGUAGGGGAGAUUGGAAUUCCUGGUGUAGCGGUGGAAUGCGCAGAUAUCAGGAGGAACACCGAUGGCGAAGGCAGAUCUCUGGGCCGUAACUGACGCUGAGGAGCGAAAGGGUGGGGAGCAAACAGGCUUAGAUACCCUGGUAGUCCACCCCGUAAACGUUGGGAACUAGUUGUGGGGACCAUUCCACGGUUUCCGUGACGCAGCUAACGCAUUAAGUUCCCCGCCUGGGGAGUACGGCCGCAAGGCUAAAACUCAAAGGAAUUGACGGGGACCCGCACAAGCGGCGGAGCAUGCGGAUUAAUUCGAUGCAACGCGAAGAACCUUACCAAGGCUUGACAUAUACGAGAACGGGCCAGAAAUGGUCAACUCUUUGGACACUCGUAAACAGGUGGUGCAUGGUUGUCGUCAGCUCGUGUCGUGAGAUGUUGGGUUAAGUCCCGCAACGAGCGCAACCCUCGUUCUAUGUUGCCAGCACGUAAUGGUGGGAACUCAUGGGAUACUGCCGGGGUCAACUCGGAGGAAGGUGGGGAUGACGUCAAAUCAUCAUGCCCCUUAUGUCUUGGGCUUCACGCAUGCUACAAUGGCCGGUACAAAGGGCUGCAAUACCGUAAGGUGGAGCGAAUCCCAAAAAGCCGGUCCCAGUUCGGAUUGAGGUCUGCAACUCGACCUCAUGAAGUCGGAGUCGCUAGUAAUCGCAGAUCAGCAACGCUG